AUAUAAUACAGUAGUUUAGGAGAUUAAAAUUACCUCACUUAUAAAUUUCAGAAAUUGUCUAAUCUCCAAUAAAAAUACCAUUUUAUUAUUACACCAUAAUCAAUGAGGCAUUCUAGAUGAAUCUUACUUUGACACAAACAAUGCAAUAUACUUUAAAAGUAGAGUGAACUCUGAGCUGGACAAUACUCCCCUAUUAGAACUCCUUUAUGAGGGAGAGACAUCUUGUCCAUUCAAUCCUUUUUAUCAGUAAAAUAAUGACUUUCAGGAUUAAUCAAUUUGCAA